AAUAUAAACUUAACUUUUCUGGAAUAGUAUAGAAACUCAAUGGUAUGUAUCUACUGUACAGUACUAAAUAGUAUAUUUAUUCAUUUAUGAAAUGAGUAGUGUUUGAGUGGCCGGGGUUAAGGGGAAAAUGAGACUUGGAAUUGUAGCUUUUAUCCAAGUUGGAGUAUGAUUUUUUUUUUUUUAAUCUUUUAAAAUUGAAAUGCCGUAUAGAAAAGCACCAUUGUUUUUACAGUUUGUAGUAACUUUUUAAAGAUUUUAUGGAAAGGAAUUUUGUCUAUAGUAAGACAUUGUAGUAAUGGUCCGAAUAAUCACUGCAUUUUUAAACACAAAGUUGAACACAAAUUACAUUUCUUUAAACUUAAAAAAUUAGUUACAUGAGCCUUUAAUACAGAUGAGUCGAAAUCAAGUGAACACUGCCUCCACACUGAGUUU
rnacentral:lncRNA from 1 species